GACGAACGCUGGCGGCGUGCUUAACACAUGCAAAUCGAGCGGUAAGGCCCUUUCGGGGGUACACGAGCGGCGAACGGGUGAGUAACACGUGGGUGACCUGCCCUCAGCUCUGGGAUAAGCCUGGGAAACCGGGUCUAAUACCGGAUAUGACUCCAUGACGCAUGUUGUGGGGUGGAAAGCCUUGUGCGGCUGAGGAUGGGCCCGCGGCCUAUCAGCUUGUUGGUGGGGUGAUGGCCUACCAAGGCGACGACGGGUAGCCGGCCUGAGAGGGCGACCGGCCACACUGGGGACUGAGACACGGGCCCAGGACUCCUACGGGAGGCAGCAGUGGGGAAUCUUGCGCAAUGGGCGAAAGCCUGACGCAGCGACGCCGCGUGAGGGAUGAC
rnacentral:rRNA from 1 species